rnacentral:rRNA from 1 species
AGAGUUUGAUCAUGGCUCAGAACGAACGCUGGCGGCGCGUUUUAAGCAUGCAAGUCGAACGGUAUGCAGUGCUUGCACUGCAGAGAGUGGCGAACGGGUGAGUAACACGUAGGUAAUCUACCUUUCAGAUGGGGGAUAGUCCAUGGAAACAUGGAGUAAUACCGCAUAAUGUCCUUCGGGAUUAAAGACGCAAUUGUGUCGUCUGAAGAUGAGCCUGCGCUCCAUUAGCUAGUAGGUAGGGUAAAAGCCUACCUAGGCGAUGAUGGAUAGCCGGCCUAAGAGGGCGAACGGCCACACUGGGACUGAGACACGGCCCAGACUUCUACGGAAGGCAGCAGCUAAGAAUCUUCCGCAAUGGACGAAAGUCUGACGGAGCGACGCCGCGUGAACGAUGAAGGCCGAAAGGUUGUAAAGUUCUUUUCUUUGGGAAGAAUAAUGAUGAGAGUGGACUGCUCAUCAGAUGACGUUACCUUAGGAAUAAGCCCCGGCCAAUUACGUGCCAGCAGCCGCGGUAAUACGUAAGGGGCAAGCGUUGUUCGGAAUUAUUGGGCGUAAAGGGCGUGUAGGCGGUUUUAUAAGCUUGGUGUUAAAUACUCUGGCUCAACCAGAGAGAUGCGCUGAGAACUGUAUGACUAGAGUUCAAAGGAGGAAGCUGGAAUUCCUGGUGUAGGGGUGAAAUCUGUAGAUAUCAGGAAGAACACCAAUGGCGAAGGCAAGCUUCUAUUUAUGGACUGACGCUGAGGCGCGAAAGUGUGG